UUAAGCGACUAAGCGUACACGGUGGAUGCCCUGGCAGUCAGAGGCGAUGAAGGACGUGCUAAUCUGCGAUAAGCGUCGGUAAGGUGAUAUGAACCGUUAUAACCGGCGAUUUCCGAAUGGGGAAACCCAGUGUGAUUCGUCACACUAUCAUUAACUGAAUCCAUAGGUUAAUGAGGCGAACCGGGGGAACUGAAACAUCUAAGUACCCCGAGGAAAAGAAAUCAACCGAGAUUCCCCCAGUAGCGGCGAGCGAACGGGGAGGAGCCCAGAGCCUGAAUCAGUGUGUGUGUUAGUGGAAGCGUCUGGAAAGGCGCGCGAUACAGGGUGACAGCCCCGUACACAAAAAUGCACAUACUGUGAGCUCGAUGAGUAGGGCGGGACACGUGGUAUCCUGUCUGAAUAUGGGGGGACCAUCCUCCAAGGCUAAAUACUCCUGACUGACCGAUAGUGAACCAGUACCGUGAGGGAAAGGCGAAAAGAACCCCGGCGAGGGGAGUGAAAAAGAACCUGAAACCGUGUACGUACAAGCAGUGGGAGCACAGAGCAAUCUGUGUGACUGCGUACCUUUUGUAUAAUGGGUCAGCGACUUAUAUUCUGUAGCAAGGUUAACCGAAUAGGGGAGCCGAAGGGAAACCGAGUCUUAACUGGGCGUUAAGUUGCAGGGUAUAGACCCGAAACCCGGUGAUCUAGCCAUGGGCAGGUUGAAGGUUGGGUAACACUAACUGGAGGACCGAACCGACUAAUGUUGAAAAAUUAGCGGAUGACUUGUGGCUGGGGGUGAAAGGCCAAUCAAACCGGGAGAUAGCUGGUUCUCCCCGAAAGCUAUUUAGGUAGCGCCUCGUGAAUUCAUCUCCGGGGGUAGAGCACUGUUUCGGCAAGGGGGUCAUCCCGACUUACCAACCCGAUGCAAACUGCGAAUACCGGAGAAUGUUAUCACGGGAGACACACGGCGGGUGCUAACGUCCGUCGUGAAGAGGGAAACAACCCAGACCGCCAGCUAAGGUCCCAAAGUCAUGGUUAAGUGGGAAACGAUGUGGGAAGGCCCAGACAGCCAGGAUGUUGGCUUAGAAGCAGCCAUCAUUUAAAGAAAGCGUAAUAGCUCACUGGUCGAGUCGGCCUGCGCGGAAGAUGUAACGGGGCUAAACCAUGCACCGAAGCUGCGGCAGCGACACUGUGUGUUGUUGGGUAGGGGAGCGUUCUGUAAGCCUGUGAAGGUGUGCUGUGAGGCAUGCUGGAGGUAUCAGAAGUGCGAAUGCUGACAUAAGUAACGAUAAAGCGGGUGAAAAGCCCGCUCGCCGGAAGACCAAGGGUUCCUGUCCAACGUUAAUCGGGGCAGGGUGAGUCGACCCCUAAGGCGAGGCCGAAAGGCGUAGUCGAUGGGAAACAGGUUAAUAUUCCUGUACUUGGUGUUACUGCGAAGGGGGGACGGAGAAGGCUAUGUUGGCCGGGCGACGGUUGUCCCGGUUUAAGCGUGUAGGCUGGUUUUCCAGGCAAAUCCGGAAAAUCAAGGCUGAGGCGUGAUGACGAGGCACUACGGUGCUGAAGCAACAAAUGCCCUGCUUCCAGGAAAAGCCUCUAAGCAUCAGGUAACAUCAAAUCGUACCCCAAACCGACACAGGUGGUCAGGUAGAGAAUACCAAGGCGCUUGAGAGAACUCGGGUGAAGGAACUAGGCAAAAUGGUGCCGUAACUUCGGGAGAAGGCACGCUGAUAUGUAGGUGAAGUCCCUCGCGGAUGGAGCUGAAAUCAGUCGAAGAUACCAGCUGGCUGCAACUGUUUAUUAAAAACACAGCACUGUGCAAACACGAAAGUGGACGUAUACGGUGUGACGCCUGCCCGGUGCCGGAAGGUUAAUUGAUGGGGUCAGCGCAAGCGAAGCUCUUGAUCGAAGCCCCGGUAAACGGCGGCCGUAACUAUAACGGUCCUAAGGUAGCGAAAUUCCUUGUCGGGUAAGUUCCGACCUGCACGAAUGGCGUAAUGAUGGCCAGGCUGUCUCCACCCGAGACUCAGUGAAAUUGAACUCGCUGUGAAGAUGCAGUGUACCCGCGGCAAGACGGAAAGACCCCGUGAACCUUUACUAUAGCUUGACACUGAACAUUGAGCCUUGAUGUGUAGGAUAGGUGGGAGGCUUUGAAGUGUGGACGCCAGUCUGCAUGGAGCCGACCUUGAAAUACCACCCUUUAAUGUUUGAUGUUCUAACGUGGACCCGUGAUCCGGGUUGCGGACAGUGUCUGGUGGGUAGUUUGACUGGGGCGGUCUCCUCCUAAAGAGUAACGGAGGAGCACGAAGGUUGGCUAAUCCUGGUCGGACAUCAGGAGGUUAGUGCAAUGGCAUAAGCCAGCUUGACUGCGAGCGUGACGGCGCGAGCAGGUGCGAAAGCAGGUCAUAGUGAUCCGGUGGUUCUGAAUGGAAGGGCCAUCGCUCAACGGAUAAAAGGUACUCCGGGGAUAACAGGCUGAUACCGCCCAAGAGUUCAUAUCGACGGCGGUGUUUGGCACCUCGAUGUCGGCUCAUCACAUCCUGGGGCUGAAGUAGGUCCCAAGGGUAUGGCUGUUCGCCAUUUAAAGUGGUACGCGAGCUGGGUUUAGAACGUCGUGAGACAGUUCGGUCCCUAUCUGCCGUGGGCGCUGGAGAACUGAGGGGGGCUGCUCCUAGUACGAGAGGACCGGAGUGGACGCAUCACUGGUGUUCGGGUUGUCAUGCCAAUGGCACUGCCCGGUAGCUAAAUGCGGAAGAGAUAAGUGCUGAAAGCAUCUAAGCACGAAACUUGCCCCGAGAUGAGUUCUCCCUGACCCUUUAAGGGUCCUGAAGGAACGUUGAAGACGACGACGUUGAUAGGCCGGGUGUGUAAGCGCAGCGAUGCGUUGAGCUAACCGGUACUAAUGAACCGUGAGGCUUAACCUU
rnacentral:rRNA from 1 species